rnacentral:rRNA from 1 species
GGUGAACGCUGGCGGUAGGCCUAACACAUGCAAGUCGAACGGCAGCACAGUAAGAGCUUGCUCUUACGGGUGGCGAGUGGCGGACGGGUGAGGAAUACAUCGGAAUCUACUUUUUCGUGGGGGAUAACGUAGGGAAACUUACGCUAAUACCGCAUACGACCUACGGGUGAAAGCAGGGGAUCUUCGGACCUUGCGCGAUUGAAUGAGCCGAUGUCGGAUUAGCUAGUUGGCGGGGUAAAGGCCCACCAAGGCGACGAUCCGUAGCUGGUCUGAGAGGAUGAUCAGCCACACUGGAACUGAGACACGGUCCAGACUCCUACGGGAGGCAGCAGUGGGGAAUAUUGGACAAUGGGCGCAAGCCUGAUCCAGCCAUACCGCGUGGGUGAAGAAGGCCUUCGGGUUGUAAAGCCCUUUUGUUGGGAAAGAAAAGCAGCAGGUUAAUACCCCGCUGUUCUGACGGUACCCAAAGAAUAAGCACCGGCUAAUUUCGUG